rnacentral:lncRNA from 1 species
UAGGGUGACUUGGUUUAUGAAGACUUAAGCUACAAGAAUCAUGGCUUAUGUAGGUCCUUGUGUACAAUUUUGGGAAUUCAGUUAUAGAAGGUGUUUUGAAAGUACGUUGUUGAUGAUGAUGAACUUGUGAGUAUUUAUGAGGUUGGAAUCAUUUGGUGGCUUGAGUUGGUCUGGAGGAUCCAUGAAGGCCUCCCAACCUGUCUGGCAGUUGGAAC